GACGAUCGACGUAACAGCGAGCGAGUUCAGUGACACCGGGAUAACCGAGUUCGCUGGUUAAUCCCGAGGCGAAAGCCGAUGAAUCAUUUCGUGGUCUGCGAGUGGCCGGGUCCGCGCGUUUCGCGAGAGCGAUACGGCGGAGAAUCGUCGUCACCACAGAGCCAUUACCGCUCUUUUCAGCCAACUAUCGACAGCACCUUCGUAAAUCGUCGCCUCAUUCCUUUGUCUCGCACUUGUCGCUUAAAUAACACCACGACACGUCUCGACGUCUCCAGCGUGUUGACGAGUUCCAACGUGAGUUCAGCAUGAACAAAUCGCGUCGAGUCUCUCCGUCCUUCCUGUGAUUUAUAUUCGAUAACAAGAUCAUUUGGGUGCAAAUGGACGAUCCGUGGAUGAGAUUCGCGCGGAUGUCGGAUACGGGAAGCUCACGCGAUCUGAAACAGCUGGCGCUCUUUCGUGUCAGAUUUUAAGGAGACGGCCGGAGGAAAACCAGACAUCUGCGCGCGUAUCAAUCUUCCGUCUUAUCUCCGAAGGAAUAGGCCCGCGUUAUUCCGUUUCUCAGCAAUGCGAGAAGCCGUAAAUUAAUUCCGAAAUAAAUCUCCGGACAUAAAUCGUCCUAUCACGGAGAACGGGAGAUCGGGCCUCUAUAAAUGCGAGUUCAAGGGAAAUCUUUGCGGAAGGUCAGGGCUCCGGAUCAGUAUCCGAGAUUCUACGGACAUGAUCUACGCAAGCUCGUCGGCCGAUAUCGAACGAUAUCGUGCGAAUUCCGAAAGUGCACCCUGCGACUCUCCCCGAGUCGAAAUUUUGAUGCUACUUUGAUGCUCUUAAGGAUAAUUUACACCAAACUGAUAAAAACCUACAACGAUAUUAAUACUCAUUAACUUCUCCCUUGAACUUUCAAUUCUACAGAUUUCGUUUUAACGCUGCCUCGAACAAUCUAUUUUAACGCUAAAACAACGAAAACGAAAAUUUAAGACGUCAAGCUCAAAGUAGGGGUAAAUUAUAUUAUUAGAAUUGUGAAAUAUAUAUUAAAUUUAUUCAUCACCCUGGAAAAGUGAACUGUGAUGUUUACGAAAUGUCGGAAACAAAUCCGUGAAGGUCUAACAGCGCUAACUCGUAAGGCGAAUCAAAUAUCAAAUAAUCAAUAAUGACACGAAGGAUAUAUGAAAUAAAUAUGAGCAAUUCUGACAUGAGGGAAAAACAAUGAGUCAAAACAGUAAAUUGUUCUCGACUCACUGCGUGAUAUAAAUUUUAGGCAAAUAUAUUGUAAAUCCCUACACUGAAUCAAUUGUGCGCUACAUUUUGAAUAUAUAAAUUUUUUUAUAUAUAAUACUCAUCAACUCAUUAUAUUGAAUAAAUUAACUGAUUUUAGGUGCAUUUUCACAUCAUUAUCGUAAUCCACGAAUACGAUUAUACAAUAUCAGUCUGAUCGGUCAUAAGAGAUUCAACGUUGCUGAAUUUUGUGACUUCAUGUACGUUCAAGUUACUGUCAAGUUCACGUACACCCGCUUAGGUCAGGGGAGACCGACAUGCAGGCGGAUUGUUACGCGAGUGCAAGAAACCGCGGCUAUAACGCUCCGCGGUGGCGAGCGCGCGCGCGCGCGAUCGUGUCUAUCGGUUGACCUCACGUAUGCUAAUUGUCGCGGUUUUAUCUGCACGCGAGCUCACCGUCGCCGUAAUGUCAGUUAGCGUCUGCGAAAUAGAACGCCGGCGGGAUUGCGCGAGGAAUCUCGCUAGAAGCCGCUCGUGCCCGCUAAAUAACUCAAUCGCCGGUUCCUCGAGAGUUCGGUCGGCCUUCGUUGGGUGCGGUUUCCGAGAGGAAACGCGCCCGAUGAAUUGUCGACACGCGGCCGCAGGACACACACUUUAAUUAAUUAAAUUCUACGAAUUAGCAGGAUUAUAUAGACGGGAGGAGAAAACAAGGUGUGUCGCGCGAUCGGAGAUGACGUCGAAUCCUCGGUGAAAGUGAAUUAAUAAUUAAAUUAGAUCACGCGUCUCGGGUAAAUUAAAUGGGACGGGAUGAAAUGAGACUAACUUUAAUUGAAGUAGAUCGAGCUGUCACGUCGUACGUUGUGCGUUAGCGUUAAAAAGGAAAGUUAAGCCGAGAAAUAGAACUCCCUUCGCGUUCGCUCUGCAUGCGCAGAGUUAGAUAAACGCGCGCGCGUAAAGUUCAUGCACACGUUUCAGAUUUCAAUCUUGCGAUGAUAAUUAACGACUGCUAUCUAGAUAAAUCUCUGUCUUUUUCUGAAAGAUAGCGCGGAGAAAUUCUUCUGUUGUCUUUGGAUCUCUAGCGGGGCAUUGCCGAUCGAUCGGCCGAGGGUUGCAACGAUCCUGCUCUUUCUCUGUUAGCGAGCGCUUCCGUAUCGUUAACAGCUGGGAAAAUCGCGCGAGACUGUCGACCCAGUUGCGGAACAGUAUCGCAGCCGGGAUCUAAUUGCAAGCGUGGCGCGGGGGGGAACGAGGGAGAAAGCGCAGAGUAAUUGCGAGCGCCGUUACAAACGAUGACCGGAAGUCGCGAUCGGAGAUCGUAGCCGAAAGAAAUCUUCUCACCGACGGGAUUUUAUCGGCGGUCUUGGUGCUCUCUGUUUAUAACGCUUGCAAUUCUUGGCCUGCGAAAAGCCAAAGAUCGGCAGCGAGAGAAGAGAAAACGCUAAACUCAACGCCCGGAACGAAGUUUUCGGCAAUGUCAGGCAUGUUGCAUUCGGAUCGUCCGUCUUUAAGAAUUCGGCGACUCUCUCAGUUUUCUACUUUAGCGGCGCGAUUGAUCGCAGUUACAACGGCGAUGACAACGAGAACGACGCAACGAAGCGGCCGGUGCAACCGAAACGUUGUAAGCAGCGCGUCACGCAACGUGAACGCGAGGUCGCUGCCAAGGCCGUCAGGUGUACCAUUAUCGACCGCGACCACCACCACCGUCGUCGCUGCCGCCACCACCACCAUCCGGGGGUGUCAGGCUGGAUCGUCGGCGUCAGGGAUCGCGAUUCCCUUCGCAGUGGUCAGCCGCCGAUCGUCGCGAGGUAGUCCUGACCGUCCCCGUCGGACGUGGGUUGAACCUUCCCGUGGUGGGGAGGAUGGCUGACCGUGGCGGUGGUAGCGGCGGUGGCGACGGUGGCAGCGUCGGCUCGUGGUUCGCCCAUGGCAGAACCAGGCAGCCGGGAGAUGCAGCGUCCCGACGACGAGAGGAUCUCCCACCCCACCACCAGCCUGUGGCGCGAGUUCCUCGUUCCACGGCCUCUACGAGGUGUCCGUCGUCCGCCGAAUUACGAGGGAAAAAUGAUAAGGGGUAGUCGGAGACGGUGGUGAAAGCGAAACGGGACGAUCGCCGGCUCACCGUCAUCCUACCCCGUGUGACUUCCCUCGGGGAUCGAGCAGCGGACUGUACGGGAUGAUCGCGUCGACUUUUUCGGCGCUCGAAUUUGGCCCACAGAAUCCUGGCGGAAUGAAUGUGUGUACGGCGUUCCCCGAAGGAUACGUGGAUAAUGAGCGAGCGCAGCGUCAUGCAUCAGCGAUGACGACUAAAGAAGAAGGAGAGUACGAUCUGGAACGAUAUCGACGCAGGCUGACUGACUGGGCUCUCUCGCUUGCGCAACAAUGCGCAACGACAUUCCAUCCGAUGCGUUACACGGGCGAGAGGAAGCCGAGGGAGUCUCGCGGAAAAUCCCGUGGCCGGUAUCGGGAGAAUGUUGCAGCCGCCACGUGGGAAAAGAGGAAAAUAAAAUGAAGAGGAGGUAAAAUACAGGAGGUAAGAAAUUUCGUGGGUGCGCGAGGGUGGGGAGGGAGGUGCGCUUACGCUAGCGGCUACGUGCGAGCGAAGUGCCGGUGAGUGACGCAUACGUAUGUGUGCGUCCUGACGAUCUAAACAGCGGAUCUCCUCGGCAAACACAUAAAUAAAUAAAUAAAUCGCCAUCUCGCCGUCUCUCCCCGUAAGAUAUGGAUUCGACGCAACAGCAACGAGUCUGAUUCGUCGCGUUCGUUGCAAAACCUCCUCCGACGCGUCCCCGGACGCGUCUCGUUUCAUUCGUUCGCCUUCGAUUCGUCGUGGGAACACCUUGUGGGGUCGAAUGAAGGGAAGAGAAAAGAUCGAGCGGGAGCGAGAGAACAUUUUUGAGAGUUUCUUUUCACCCCGGCGGUAUAUUAGUCUCGCGAAAUAGCGCUCGCAGGAUAUCGUUACGUUUGGACUCGUUCGGUAUUGCGGCAUCGCGGAAUUCCCCCGUGGAAUCCUCGUCAUUGAAGAGGGAGAGAGAGAGAGGGAGAGAACACACUCUUCCUCUUUAUCUCUCUCUCUCGCCGGUAAUUCUCCUAAACCGACCUGUAUGUCGCGUCGCCUGCGGAAUCCAACAAUUAAACGAACCGAAGAUUCGAAUCCCGGCGCUGUCUUUGAUUUUUCCAAGAGAUACCUAACGUCCCACACCUACGCUGCUCCGCUUCGGAAUCUACUUAAGACCGGAACUUCCGGGUUAAUCGUCUUAUCGUGGCCGUAAGGUGAUCACGAUGAGCUCUUCUCUGUCUCUCUCCUCUCUUUUUCCUUUCUGUCCAUGAACCCGUCCUUUUUUUUUCUACGCCGGGAUAUAAAAGCAGAUUUACGCGCGCGAUACGACGUCGAAGGCGCAAUGCUAAGCGGAGGUAUGCGUGUCGUAAUUUCGCACGGAUUCUUCGAGCGCACGUCGCACUUUCCCCUUUAUUGCGUCCGCAAUGUAAUCUUUCGUUUAAUCCUGCGGACUCCCCGAAGCGCCGUGACGCGCGUUCGCGACAAGAAGAAUGGAAGAACGAGGUCACCGCCUCGAGAGGAAAGACCUUGCAGAGAGUCACCGAGUGUCGGUGACAAUAGACAAGACGCGCCGCCGGGCGUAUCGCGUGACAGUCUGGCGAGGCAUCGGGUCUGCCAUGCCAGACCGGGGUUAUUACUACCUUGCGAUAAAGAGGAUCACAUUGGUACCGCUUAGUUAGAAGACUUAUUGCUCGAGUGAAAAGAUUUAUCGUCGAGUCGCGUACCGUGGUCGUUGGCUAGACCGGCAGAUUUCUAACACGAUUCGCAGUACGAAACCGGAAAACCGGCAAACACCGUAUGUCGUGGGUAAUAAAUCUGUGAAAAACUUAUCUUCUUUAAAAAGAAGGUAAAAAAAGCACCAAGGGUACGCGCUUCGUACAAAUAAAACCGGCAAAAACUAACGAGACUCAAUUUAACAAAAGCUAAUAACAUUGCGGAAAUAAUGACAACCGAAAUUUAAUUUAA